rnacentral:lncRNA from 1 species
UUAUCUUUCACUGAUUUCAUUUCAUUACCAUAUGUUUACACAGUCAAUUGAAUGUCUAUCUUUAAUGCAUAAAUUGCUCAAUAUACAUGCAAAGCAUGCUUAUAAUACAAAUUGCGAUCAUGUUUAUAAUUAUGAGUAAUGAUAUUCAUACUAUGUUUUUAUACCACAUUUCUAUACCACCUUAUAUGACAUCUGAUGUAGAUAGCCACAUCAUUUGAAAAAUUUGUAAAACCCAAGGAAAUGAAGGAAAAAGACUCAUCGUAUACCACAAUAAUCAUUUAAUUAACUAAUUUUUCUUAAUUAUUAGUUUAUUAAACAAUGAACUAAAUUUAAAAAUCUAAUUAAUUCAAAUGAUGUGGCUGUACACAUCAAAUGCCAUUUAAGGUGGUAUGAAAAUGUGGUACAAAAACAUGGUAUGAAUAGCAUUACUCUAUAAUUAUACAUGUCAUGCCAUUCAUAUGAGUUUUGAUCUGGAGUGUAUUAUUUUCUUUUGUCAAGAAAGUGCUUAAGCCUGCAUUAAUUAGUUCUAGACGCAUACUUAUCAUGCCUAAAUAUCAUUGAAUAGUGAAGUACGAGACUUGCAUUGCUCGUUCUAUAGAUGACCCCAACAUAAAUGCGACUUCACUGGGGACUAGGCCAUUACUCCUACGGUGGUUCUCUGCCUGUCAAGCUUCUGGAGCACAGGCUGCCAAGAAAAUAAGACAAGAGAUGUUUCUCUCAAAUUUUAUUUUAGCUAUAGACUAUAGUUUCUUUCAAAUAACUAUGCAUAAAGAUUACUUACCCUUUAUAUGAGUUUAUGCUUUAGAUGUCUACCCUCAAGAAAAACGAAUUUCUUGACAAGUCCAUUUAGUGGUUUCAGAACUCAUGGCACUUAGGUGCCGAAAAACUCUUAAGCAAUAUCCUCCUUGAGUCACAAAUUGGAGUAACGUUGGAGCAAUUCGUUGUAUGUUCUACCACUGACAGACCCAAGCGAGCAUAUACUGUCACCUGCACCAACAAUUUCCGAACUCAAUCUUCAAAGCACAAGACCAAUGAAAGUUACAGACCCAACAACUUGGGGGCUCCGUGCCUGUAACAAAAAUUUCAGCAUGCUCAUCUCACUCUUCUACAACAAGAUCCAAGGACACCACCAUCCACGUCUCCUCCGUCAUUGUUGUUCACAUGCUUCAGGUCCUUUUGGGACAUUGACACCACGACGUCGUUGCCGCACUUGGCGUUUCCUGCAAUAUCGUUGGACUCCGUUGAACUAUUGAGACUGACUAAUUUCCUUGCCAUGCUAUUUUAAACUGUUAUAUUUAUGUUUUCUUAUAUUUUGUUAGCUUGCUAUGGAACACUGCACAAGCAUAUUGGUUAUAAUUUCUUGACGAGUAUUUGUUUUUAUCUCAUAUAGACUUGAAAUAACACAAUAAUAUGAUUGUAAGAUUUUGCUAAAGACAAUUGCUUAUGAACAAUUUAGCGUCUGUUUGUUGUGCAUGUGCAUGCAUUAAAAGUUACCGACGCAAAUUAUCCAAGGGGUGUGAUAUCCACACACCCCAUUUUACUUCUCACACACCCUUCUAAUUUUCGGCCGUCGGAUCGGAUGAAUUGAAGAAGAUCAACGGACAGAAAUUAACAAGGGGUGUGUGGGAAGUAAUUUGGGGUGUGUGGAUAGCACACCCCAUUAUCCAAAUGUAAAUUUUUGGGUAAAGUACAAAAAACUACCUCAACUAUUGGUGUCACGACACUUUCAUACCUCAUCUUUUAAAAUUGACAAUGUCAUACCUCAUCUUACGAAUUUGUGCCAAUGUCAUACCUUCCGUCAGUUUCCCCAGUUAAAUGUUGACGUGGCUUCUUGUGACGUGGCACACUUUAUAUUAAAAAACUAAAAAAAAAUAUUUUUAAUAAUUAAAUAUUCCCAAAAAAAAAACCCAGAAAGGAAGAAGAAGAGGAGGAGGAAGAAGAAGAAGAAGGAAGGAAGAAAAAAAAAUAUUCGUCCCCCCCCCC